CAAGUGAGGAUUGUGGUCAUCUUCUGAUACAAAUGAAAUUUCUGGGCUAAAUGUUGCGACAUUCUGGCAACAUUCUGGGAACAGCUGGCCUAUGACUGACGUCAGCGCACUAGCUGGAGAAAACAGACAAAAAGGAAUCCGUGUGAGCUGGCUGAGCAGGUGUCAUUGUGGUCCACUGUGCACAUCAUCAAGUGACAGCUCAGCCCUUGUGUUGCCCUAGAAGGGAAUGUUUUCUUAAGACAAAGGGGCAGCCGCCAAAAAAAAGAGAGGAGAGAAACGGGGCUGAAAUAGAAAAGA